GAUCCAGACUCCUACGGGAGGCAGCAGUGGGGAAUAUUGCACAAUGGGGGAAACCCUGAUGCAGCGACGCCGCGUGAGUGAAGAAGUAUUUCGGUAUGUAAAGCUCUAUCAGCAGGGAAGAAAAUGACGGUACCUGAUUAAGAAGCCCCGGCUAACUACGUGCCAGCAGCCGCGGUAAUACGUAGGGGGCAAGCGUUAUCCGGAUUUACUGGGUGUAAAGGGAGCGUAGACGGCAGCGCAAGUCUGAAGUGAAAUGCCGGUGCUUAACCCCGGAACUGCUUUGGAAACUGUGCAGCUCGAGUGCAGGAGAGGUAAGCGGAAUUCCUAGUGUAGCGGUGAAAUGCGUAGAUAUUAGGAGGAACACCAGUGGCGAAGGCGGCUUACUGGACUGUAACUGACGUUGAGGCUCGAAAGCGUGGGGAGCAAACAUGAGUAGAUACCCCGGUA
rnacentral:rRNA from 1 species